GUGGGUAUAGCUCAGUUGGUUAGAGCGCCAGAUUGUGGCUCUGGAGGUCAUGAGUUCGAAUCUCACUACCCACCCCA
rnacentral:tRNA from 1 species